AAAAAAAAUACAAUCUUUUACGAUAAAUGGAAAAAAAAUAUAAAAUAAUAAUUGAGUUUAAAUUGCUCAAUCACAAUUGUAUAGCAUUUGAAUAUGUUUUUUAGUAAUUUUAAAAAAAAUGAUAAGCAAUUUAAUAAUUUUGAUACAUUAAAUGAUUAAUCUAUCAUUUAACUCGUUUUUUUAAAGCACCGGAUCAAUUAGGGAACACCAAAAUCACCAAGCACCAUAACAUUGAGGUCACAACACAUUAAAACUUGCAACAUCUUUAUUGUGACUUAAAGUUAAAUAUCCCAAUAAUAGCAAUGUACUUCCAUGGUUGUGAUAAUAUCAAUUUGAUUCCCCAUCGACACCCAACAGAAACAUGAAUUGCUAAUGGUAAAUAGAACCAUGUAGAAACUAUGUCUUCACGAAAGCUCCAUACUAACCUUGGGGUAAAAUUGUCCAAAACUUUCAUCGGGUGAUUAGCACCUUUAUUGAUACUUCCAACGCCUUCAAAUUAAACAUGAUCUUUAACAUUCACCAAAUUACCAUCCAAUGAUAUUGACAAUCUUUCAGACCAACCAUUUUGUAAACAGGGGUAUAAUCGUCCAUAUUUUGCCUAAGCGGAAAUCAACCAAAUUAGAGCAUCCGACAGCAACAAAUCGUGAUUAAACUUCGCCUUCACCGUGUAUCCUCUCUGUUGUAUAAUAAUUCUCUCCAUAUUGCAUUGAUAUUUCUGCUUAUCAUAAUAAGUGCUUCAUUGAGCAUAAACACUGGCAAGCUUAGUGAGAUAAAUUGACAACUUACAGUUACAUAAUGGAGAACAAAAGUGUAAGUUGCUUACCGUGUUCAGAAGUAAGGAUGUAAUAAACAUAAACGGCUUAACAAAAUACACAUAUUAAACAGAUUGUAUGGUUGGUACAGUUGAAAAUAAACAAAUUGAAUCAACAAACUAUAACAAAAUAUUAACAUAAUGACUUUUUAAACAAACCACCAUGCCUAGUUUUUCCUUGAAAAUUAAACUUUACCAAAAAGAUACUAACUUUGAUCAAUUUUCUGAAAUCAUGGAGUUAUAACCAUAAUAAGUACAUAAGCAAAGUCUUAAAUUUCAGUUACCAUAGUUGAUGUAGUGUCAGCAGUUCAAACUUCAUUUGGUUCGGCUCAGGAAUAUGAAAGCAACACUGACCAUGGAUACAUCUUGUUUUAUGAGAGCCUUGUUGGAAAUAAUAACAUCACCUGUUGAAUCAAAUUCAAUCGUAUGUUAUGCUAUUUUUUCCUUUUCUUUUUUUCUUUUGUGUUUCGUUUUUUGUUUUGUGAUAUGGUAAUGGUAUAGAACAUUUUGGGUUAGGCUCAGGAGUAUGCAAGCAACACUCAAUGGACCUGUUUUGUUUACAUGGCGUCUAUUGGUGGUACCCAGUCCACCACCCAUUUAUAAUUUAAAGCCAAGUUCAAUGCAUGGUGGAUUCACAGUAUUCACAGUCUACUACCUUAUCAAUUUGGCUGCAUCUACCUCUCUACUAUUAUCAAGUAUCUCUGUAUUUUUUUUCACUUAACUCAUCAAAGCAAAAGUAUGGCUUCUAUAUCAACUCACAAACAGGGUAUACAUCUAAUUACCAUUAUAUAAAAUCUUAAUAAUCUUCAUUCACAUCCAAAGUGCAAACAUUACCUUUUGUAAAAAAAUAUAGGGAAAAUUAUUGGAUGUGAUGAAAAAAUGUCAAUUUAGACAGAAUCAACAAAAUUCAACUACAAAUUGGAGUGAAGAGCUUACUUUUUUGAGGGAAGAAGGAUUUUGGGUUCGAUAAAAAAUGAAGAACAGAUGCCGAUGUCUCCAAAAAUAUUUAAGUGAUACUAGGUAUAAAAUAACCUAAUGUUUCAUUCAAAUCACCUUAUGGCAGUUAGGGUCAAUGGUCAUCCGUUGAGUCACCAGUCGUUCGAUUGUCACCUAUGUUGAGAAGAGCGAUAUCUGCUUGAUGCGGCAGUGAGAGAGGUGGUGGAAGACCCUGGUCGAUUGAUGUUCGUCUCUCUCCCAAUCGGUCUGUCAUCCACUUCAAAUUUUGCCAUCGUUUCCUCCUCUUGUUCCGCCAUCGAAGCUUACCAAAAAGAUCAAAGAAAAGGAGUCGGAUGGAAAUUAGAGGUUACAAAGCAAGAAUGUUGAAAUAUUAAAGGGACGACUGAUUUUACAACUGAAGGGAGAGAAUUAGGGAUUUUGAAACCCAAAUCACAGCUUAAUACCGAGAUUUGAGGAUGACUGAAGAUUUAGAAGAUAAAUUCUUGAUUUUCAGAUUGAAAUAUGAAAAUUGAAGAGGAAAGUAUUUGACUGGUAUAUAAGGGGUGAGAGGGAUAAUUUGGGAAUUUCACCAGGAAUAUAAGUUAGAAGAGGGCUUAGAGAAUGCCACGUGGCAGAAAAAUACUUAUUUAUUAGGACAGGGGAUGAUUAUUAGUUUAUGUAUUUUGAUUGAUUAUGCAACAUUUUUCCAACCCAAAUCAAUUAAAAUGUACAUAAAUUAAUUUUAAAAAAAUGCAAUGCAAGACAGCGAUCUAAAUCGGUCACCCAAUCAAAGAGUUUGUUCACAUGUUUUCGUUGUAUACUUGUAUUGGUCUCUUUAUCUUAUGUUAUUGAACUUAUAAAUUAUGUUUAAUAUUUAUUAAUAAAAAAAUAAAAAUAAAUAUUUUUUUCUCCACAAAUAAAGAUUAAUAUUAAUAUAUUUUUACUUUUUAGAUUUAAAAAAUAAUAAAAAUUUAUUUUUUUUGCAAUGAAAAUAUAUUUAAUAAUCCCGCAAAAAAAUUUAUAAGUAAUUGAAUUUGAUCUUAAGGCUCGUUUGAUAUUUGCUAACUGGAUUAGAGCUGACCGGGUUAGAAGCUGACUGGGUUAGAAGUUCUGACUGAGUUAACUUCUGACUGAAACUUGCUGCUUGAUUUUGCAUCUGACUUACUAUAUAAAAUGACUUUAUUACCCUCAAAGUAGAUAAUUUAAUAACACAUCAUUAGUUGCAAGAAUAAAUUCCAAAGAAUGAUGUUCUAAAAAUAGAUUAUUAAAUAACCAAAAACAAAUUACUUUUAUUUUCUUGUCAAACAAAACAUGAGGUGUAUGAUUGACAAUUGGAUACUAGAUUCAUAAGAUAUUAACAUCUCUCAANUUAUGUUGAUUUUUCUUGUCAAACAAAACAUGAGGUGUAUGAUUGACAAUUGGAUACUAGAUUCAUAAGAUAUUAACAUCUCUCAAAGGCCAAAUUUAAUCCUAAUGAGUUGAGAAAUGCAAAACUCUGAUAUAAAUCUAGACAUAACCUUUAUUCAAACAUUUGAUCUACAUUUGACAAAUUAAUCAAAUAACACAUAUCCGAUGACCAAAGCUAAUCCAAUUACACAUAACCUUUAUUCACACAUUACCAGAAACUAAUCCAAUAACACAUAAAAAACUCUACCACCAAUCCCUAAAUACAAGUGUGUUGAACCCAAUUGCAGCUGUUUUGUUGAACUUCACUCCUAUAACAUGAAGCCCCAUUGGAGAAAUCAAGAAAAUUAACAAAACACCACCACCGAUCAUUAAACACAAAUCGUUAGAGAUAACACCCAUAUAACUACAAUAGUUCNGAUGUCUCCAAAAAUAUUUAAGUGAUACUAGGUAUAAAAUAACCUAAUGUUUCAUUCAAAUCACCUUAUGGCAGUUAGGGUCAAUGGUCAUCCGUUGAGUCACCAGUCGUUCGAUUGUCACCUAUGUUGAGAAGAGCGAUAUCUGCUUGAUGCGGCAGUGAGAGAGGUGGUGGAAGACCCUGGUCGAUUGAUGUUCGUCUCUCUCCCAAUCGGUCUGUCAUCCACUUCAAAUUUUGCCAUCGUUUCCUCCUCUUGUUCCGCCAUCGAAGCUUACCAAAAAGAUCAAAGAAAAGGAGUCGGAUGGAAAUUAGAGGUUACAAAGCAAGAAUGUUGAAAUAUUAAAGGGACGACUGAUUUUACAACUGAAGGGAGAGAAUUAGGGAUUUUGAAACCCAAAUCACAGCUUAAUACCGAGAUUUGAGGAUGACUGAAGAUUUAGAAGAUAAAUUCUUGAUUUUCAGAUUGAAAUAUGAAAAUUGAAGAGGAAAGUAUUUGACUGGUAUAUAAGGGGUGAGAGGGAUAAUUUGGGAAUUUCACC
rnacentral:lncRNA from 1 species